rnacentral:tRNA from 1 species
UUAAAGCUCAGAAUGCCUAUUCUUUACCUUUUGGGAAAAAUUUGGAUGGGGCAAAUCAGAGUUUUAAA